UAUCACAGGAGCGGCACGAACGAAAACUAUGAAGACAGCAGGAAACCACGCGCGAGUUAUGUUAUAUUUGUACAAGUUUUGAAGCAUGUCUCGUGAAAGAAGGCACGAAGCAGGAAGAUUUAUUUAUCGGCAAUCAUUCUUUUCUCUGCAAUCUUGAAGACGACUCGAGCAGCUCUAUAGGUAGUUGGAGAGGCAAAUAGGGUAUUUGACGGUGCCGACAGCUUUGUCCGAAAAAUUGGAAAGUCUGAUUUUUUGGAGUACAAAUUAUUGGUCAGCGACCUGGUUGGUAGGGCGACUGUCAAUGGGUUGCAUUCAAAAUUAGGUUAAACAUCCCAUACAAAUGUCAUCAUGCACAAAAUACUAGAACGCCUCACCUGAUCCUUCUGUGUAUCGAGCUGUGUAAGGCGAUCCCUAAGCUGUGAUGCCGACUGGGACAAUGCGGCAUGUUGAGAGGCUAAGCAUGCCGCCUCAACUUGCAGUUGUGCGUGCUGUGCUUGAAGGGCAAGGCGUUGCUGCUCGCUGCUUGUGGCACGGCCCUGCAGAACUGCAGUGUGUUCCUGCAGUGCCUGCAGCUGGUCGCGUGCACAGCAUGCUUCUUCCUCCAACUGACAAUUCUGCAGCUGCACAAUGUGGUCUCUCAGCUCAAAAAUCUUCCUUGGAAUGAGCUUGUCUGCAUCGGUGCAACUGCAGCACUAACCAGAGUAAAGCAACGCCUAAGCGAAUGGAAAAUGCAAGAAUGCCUCAGACAGCGAGAGCCUUACUUUGCUGAGUUCCAGUUGCUCCUGCAGGCCGGCAACUCGUUUCCGCAGUCGAGUACAUUGAGACUCCAUGUCUGCGAGCUGCAAGGCACUUGCGCUGCGUUCCGCGCUCAACUGAGCUCGUUCACUGAUGCACAGUUACCUUCGGAGGAACCUACGAGAGAGAUUGGCAUUGUCCCGUGCCCGCAGCUGAUGUAGUUCCGCUCGCAGGUGGGUGGCUUCUUCUAGUGCGGCUUUCUGCUCUAACUGCAGAUGCUGCUGCUGUUCCAACAGCUUCUGCACCUGCUCACGCUCCAGAUCACGCUCCUAAAGUAGACAACCGCAUCAAAGCCUCGAGCGAAAUCAAACGUACUGUUUCAAAAGUAGAGCCUGAAGUUUUAGGGUUUAACCCAAUUCUUCCCCGAAUUUGCACCCUGAAUUGCAGGUUGCGUCUGUAGGAAUACACACUACCUUGUUUGGCAGCAAAUGCAGUUACAUCACAGUUUGUACCAAACCAGUACAGUUAGUUUGAGUAACUGAGCCCGAUUUCUCUCCGAAUUUAGUAUACUGGGAGUUUCUUCACCCCAAUUCGCAUGAAUGUAGAGCACAUGUUUUUUUUAGCACAAUUUUUACCCCCCACCCCCCGAAUUUAGAAAAAAAAUUGCCCAAAAACUUCAGGCUCUAUUCAAAAGUACAGUCGCCGACUGACUCCAAACAUUUUGGACUUUCCAAUUUUUCUGACAAAACUAGUGGGUUCAAACAUGCCAUAGCUCCAAUGUAUUUCCAUCUUGAAUAUUUCAGACCAUUUCUUAAAAGAACAGCUCGACGUUUCAUGCACAUACAACCCCCGAGAUUGCUUAGUUUUUAGGAGCCAGAGAGCCGAAAGCAGCAGAGCAGAUCUAGAGGGGGGGGUCAGGAAGUCCUGACCUCCUCCUCAAUUUCUGUCUUCACAUAGUGUUUAGUUGACCUAGAUCAUGUAUCUACCAUGCUGGCAAAGGUUGGACCCCCAUCUCAGAAAAAUCCUGAAUCCGCAAGUGUUCAGAGCCCUAUAUUUCGGACUGCAUUACCAAUGUAUUUGCAGACACAGCACAUGCGCAGGGUGUGCAUGUGCAGAGGCAGAGCUUAUGUGUGUGCACUGAACCGCUCAGCUUCAGACAGGCGGAAGCACAGAAAUCACGUGUAGAGAAGCAGAAGGCUCGAGGCUAGGGUGAUGAUGGUAGCAAUGAGUAUGUUGAUGAUCCCCCGUUAACCCGCUGGUGAAAUGUGGCGAUCCUUGCAACACAGCCAUCAACACGCUCGUUAAUGUGCACACAGUGAGAGUGCAACACUGGCAGAAAUUCACCGCGAAGCAUCGUGCCGUGUUCAUGCAAUGAAACAAACAUGCUUAGACAGUUUUUUUAAACACCUUAAAAAGUGUUCUGAAUAAAGACCUUAGAAACAAAGUGAAUUUUUUUGCCAUCCACUAAAAAUGCGAACUCGUAAUAAUUUUGGCUUAUUCUAAGUUCUUUUUUGGAAGUCCAAAAAAUCGGUCGGUGAGUGUAUUUUAAAAGUCUCUCUGUGUGAAAUGUUGCAUACCAAUGCACACUCGCUGAUGCGAGCCCUCGCCCGCAAGAGCUCGGAUUCCAGCUGCAGGGCCUGCUCCGCUCUUCUUCUGCACGACUCCAGUUGUUCUUCCAACAUGGCUUUUGUCUCACCCAAGAUACGUUUGUCCUCGCGCAAUUCCUGUAAUUCCCAAGGCACCAUGAAGCUCCCUCAAUGUGAUUUUCAGGUGGGACGCAGACCAACCUCAACUCUCGUACGAAAAAAUUCGAGUUCAUUCAUCUUGUCCUUGUAACGGUGGAUCUCUGCUUCCAGGCGGUCGAGUUUCAAUACCUGAAACAAUGCAGAUAUUGGAUGUAUUGGAUUUGAUGUAUUGGAUUGGAUUGAAUGCAUUUUUGGACAGGUUUGGUCGAUGUUAUAGAAGGGAAUGUGAUAUAUACAGGGUGUUUCAUGAAAAUCCCCCGGCUGAAUAAUUCGUGAACAGGUGGCGCUAGCGAAAAAAUUUUUUGCGUGAAACACCCUGUAUAUAUGCCACUACAUAGAGCCUAUACUUAAACCAGGUUUAAACCCACCUAUUCACUGAUGCCUGCUAUAUGUCAUACAUCGCUCAUUGUACAUUGAAUCCUGUACAUUACACACUAUGUUAAAAUGUGAUAUCCACAUAUUAUUAUUAGAGCCUGAAGUUUUAGGGUUUAACCAGAUUCUUCCCCAAAUUUGCACCCCGAAUUGAAGGUUGCCUCUUUAGUGUGAAACCCGAUUUCUACCCAUCAAAUUGCCAUCACUGAGAUGUCUGUAGGAACGCACACUAACUUGUUUUGCAGCAAGUGCAGCUACAUCACCGUUUGCACCAAACCAGAACACGUAGUUUGAGUAACUGAGCCAGAUUUCUCCCCGAAUUUAGCAUACUGGAAGUUUUUCCACCCGAACUUGCAUGAAUUUAAAGCACAUGUUUAUUUACCCAAUUUUUACCCCCAAUUUAGAAAAAAAUAUUUCCCAAAAACUUCAGGCUCUAAUUAUUAUUCUGUGUAACUGCAUGCUUUGUAUAAUGACGAAGAAGUGCUCUCAAUCGACCUUUGUUUUGAAUGAAAGGAACACUGACAUACAUAUGAAGGCUUACUUAGUUUUGCCAGUGAUGUAGAAAUUGACGUAGAAAACCGACACAAUGGGACAGUUUAUAGACCAACGUCGCACAAGUCAUCGAGAGGACACUGGGUCAAUGUAUGAGUAAAUGGGACAUAACAACAAGAAUCCCCCAAUUUUUAGUGAAACAAAUCAAGUUGGGCCCAUCCUCCGGUGGUUUCAUUACUUUGUACGUCUCAUUCAUUUACUCACCUUUUCCUUGAGAAUGUCAAUCUCGUCACGAUAUGCUUUAGCCAUCCUAGCAUCUUGCACUAACUCCAAGUUCUGAAAAUGCAUGUCCAGUGAGCACCUCAUUAAUAAGAGGUAGAAAUACACACUAACAAAAAUGCAGAGAGAUCUGAAAUUGGUGCACAUACUUGCUGUCUCAAACGCACAAUAGCAUCUUUCAUGUUGUCCAACUCUUCCUUCUGUUCAGAAAGUGACUCAAUCUUUUCUUCCCUGGAGCGAAAAAGAUCCAAUGUUUUUAUAACCUUGCCAACAUCCAAGAAUGCUCACAGUUACUGCACAAUUUUAUGUAAUCUUUAGCUCUGUUAUAUGUUCUAUUUUAUGCUACACUGAUUAUUAUAACUUAGAAUAAUGUUUAUUACUCCUCUGUAUAUAUUUUUUGCCCUAACAAAUUGUCACUCAUUUUGUAAUAAUGACUAUCAGUUUUUGGACCAAAACAACAACAAAAAGUAAUAACCGACAAUUUUAUGUAAUCUUUAGCUCUGUUACAUAUUGUAUUUUGUGCUCCAUUGAUUAUUAUAACUUAGAACAAUGUUUAUUACUCUUCUGUAUGAUUUUUUCCCCAACAAAUUUUCACGUAAUGAUGGCUAUCAGCUUUUGCACACACAAAAAAAACACACACACACACACAAUAACCAAACAGGCAUGAUACAACACUAGUCCAUAUGUUGCAUCAUGUAUUUUAUUUGGCAGCCCUUUAAACCUGCAUGCAAGCUUUCAGAAAGCUUAGAUUCAGCACAAUUAGAAGCACUAAUGAACUGAAGACUCGAGUAGCGAAGUGGAGAACAUCAACACAUGGCCAGUGAUCUGCAGCAGAAUUUUACAUGACUUCAGAUGUCAUACAUUGCAAAGCUUUCACAGUAGCUUAUUAUCGCAAAAAUGUGAAUUCCAGACUUUCAUAAUAACACCGGAAGUUGAUGUCAUCGUGUGUCCCAAUGCAGUAGAACAGAAACAGACGAUGGGAAAUAUGUUUUUAGGAUACUACACAUAUUAUUUCAGUAUUUCAAUACUUUGCUCUUGAAAGGAGCAGUACAAUCCUGAUACAUAUAUUUCCAUAUUUUCUACAUUUUUUCAUUACAUUAUUCUACAUUUUUCUACAUGACAAUAAAUUUCUACAUUUUCA